CGAUAAUGGGGAGGCUAUGCAGGUGUGUGGGCUGGAGGGACUUUACAGAUGUGAUUAAGGAUUGUGAGAUGGAAAGAUUAUCCUUGAUUACCUGCAUGGACCCAGUAUAAUCACAACUGUCCUUAUAAGAAGAGGAGCUUUGGAAGAAGAGAGAGUUGACUACGGAAGAGGGAAAAGAUUCCAUCGUGAUCGCAUUCUGGGUGAGCCUGGCUGCCUUCGUGGUGCUCCUCUUCCUCAUCCUGCUGUACAUGUCCUGGUCCGGCUCCCUGCACAUGAGGAACAGCCCCAAGCACCACCCAACAUGCCCCUGGAGCCACAGCCUCAACCUCCACCUCUGCAUCCAGAAGUGCCUGCUGCGCUACAGGGAACCCCUGGCAACCUCACAGGCUCAGGCGAGCUCAGUGGAGCCAGGGAGCAGAACUGGCCUUGACCAGCCGCUACGACAGGAGAGCUCCUCCACCUUGCCCCUCGGGGUUUUCCAGACCCACCCUACUCUCCUCUGGCAACUGACCCUCAGUGGGGGUCCCCUCGUCAGGAGCAAGCCCAGUGAGCCUCCCCCUGGAGACAGGACCUCUCAAUUGCAGAGCUGAUGUCAGUAAAUCGUGGCCAUAGCUGAGUGAACUGGUGAAAUCAAGCCAACCUGGACACAUACGUUCCUCGUUCUUCUUAGAGGCCGUUUGCAUGUAGCAGAGAGGGCGCCUGGGUCAAGUGCAACUAGAGCAGGAGCAUCCUAUGCCUUUGACAAAGAUUGCAGUGGCCCCUCGAGUGCAGAGGUCAUCCCAGGAGUUGCUGAGUUUAUUGAGCACAUCUAGCCUGCUUGCUUACUGCUUAUAUUUGCUUAGGGAAGAGUAGGAAAAUAAAAUCUAUGCAAAUCAAGAGGAAAA
rnacentral:sRNA from 1 species